UACGAAGGGGCUAGCGUUGCUCGGAAUUACUGGGCGUAAAGGGAGCGUAGGCGGAUCGUUAAGUUGGGGGUGAGAGCCCGGGGCUCAACCUCGGAACUGCCUUCAAUACUGGCGAUCUUGAGUAUGGGAGAGGUGGUGUGGAACUCCGAGUGUAGAGGUGAAAUUCGUAGAUAUUCGCAAGAACACCAGUGGCGAAGGCGGCUGACUGGACAUGUAUUGACGCUGAGGUGCGAAAGCGUGGGAGCAAACAGGGAUUAGAUACCUGAGUCCAGU
rnacentral:rRNA from 1 species